rnacentral:lncRNA from 1 species
UGAAACUUUACAAGCCUCUAGCGGACAACUUCAAAACUCUCCUGCUGACUCUCAGCAGUUCUGAUUCCUCUUUUUCUGACUAUGCAGCUCUUACCCCUUUUCUCUGCCUCUGAUUUUCCUCCCUUGACUCAAGAUGUAUUGCAAGCUCUUUCGAUCUGCAAGGAUCUGUCCUCAUACCUUAUACAGGUACCGUCUCCACAUCUUGAGUGCAAAGAUUACCAUCGCCAUCUCUAGAUCAUGUGUAGGAUGAUUCAACUCAUGCUUCUUCAGCUACCUAGAAGCAUAAGCAAUCAUCCUAUCACUUUACAAUAACACA